AAUCAACGCUGGCGGCGUGCCUAACACAUGCAAGUCGAACGAGAAAGUGGAGCAAUCCAUGAGUACAGUGGCGCACGGGUGAGUAACACGUGACUACCUACCCUCGAGUGGGGAAUAACCUCGGGAAACCGGGGCUAACACCGCAUAAUAUCUACGGAUCAAAUGCGAAAGCAGCUUGAGGAGGGGUCGCGGCCGAUUAGCUAGUUGGUGAGGUAAUGGCUCACCAAGGCAAUGAUCGGUAGCCGGCCUGAGAGGGCGCACGGCCACACUGGAACUGAAACACGGUCCAGACUCCUACGGGAGGCAGCAGUGGGGAAUUUUGCGCAAUGGGGGAAACCCUGACGCAGCAACGCCGCGUGGAGGAUGAAGCCCCUUGGGUGUAAACUCCUUUCGAUCGGGACGAUUAUGACGGUACCGGAAGAAGAAGCACCGGCUAACUCUGUGCCAGCCGCCGCGGUAAU
rnacentral:rRNA from 1 species